CCGUAAAGUUUGGCAAGUAACAAGAGUAAAGAUGCUUGCGAUUCGCAAGAGCUUGAUAAGCACGUCCCGUUUGACCGGCAAUAUUGCCAGGACUUAUUCCCACAAUACGAUCCUCUGCACGCCGCCAAGGGUGAAGAUAUCCACCGCUGAACAUAUAAUUUCGUUCUUGUGUCUCGCUUCAGCAAUAUUGGUAUCACCCAUGUAUAUGGUACCUAAUUUUAAGAACUAUGCCAAGAGGAAGCUAUAGAAGACUAUAGGAAACUAAAUCAAUGAAGUUUUAAAUGUGUCAUCUUAGCUAAAGUUAUUAUUUAUGAUGUACAUCCAACGGCACACAUUUAUAGAUCCAUUGGAGGUAUCUAGAAGAGUAUCUUGUUAAUAAAUAUGUCAAAAUAAAAA